rnacentral:rRNA from 1 species
GAUGAACGCUAGCGGCAGGCCUAACACAUGCAAGUCGAGGGGUAGAACACUUCGGUGUUUGAGACCGGCGCACGGGUGCGUAACGCGUAUGCAAUCUACCUUGUACAGGGGAAUAGCCCAGAGAAAUUUGGAUUAAUGCCCCAUAGUAUAUAACCUUCGCAUGUUGGUUAUAUUAAAGUUCCAACGGUACAAGAUGAGCAUGCGUCCCAUUAGUUAGUUGGUAAGGUAGCGGCUUACCAAGACGAUGAUGGGUAGGGGUCCUGAGAGGGAGAUCCCCCACACUGGUACUGAGACACGGACCAGACUCCUACGGGAGGCAGCAGUGAGGAAUAUUGGUCAAUGGUCGCAAGACUGAACCAGCCAUGCCGCGUGCAGGAAGACGGUCCUAUGGAUUGUAAACUGCUUUUAUACAGGAAGAAACCCUCCCACGUGUGGGAGCUUGACGGUACUGUAGGAAUAAGGAUCGGCUAACUCCGUG